rnacentral:rRNA from 1 species
CAGCAGCCGCGGUAAUACCGGCGGCCCGAGUGGCGGUCACUAUUAUUGGGCUUAAAGCGUCCGUAGCCGGGUUGGGAAGUCCUCCGGGAAAUCUGGCCGCUUAACGGUCAGAAUGCCGGAGGAUACUCCCAGCCUAGGGAGCGGGAGAGGCCGAGGGGAUUCCCGGAGGAGGGGGGAAAUCCUAUAAUCCCGGGAGGACCAACUGUGGCGAAGGCGCUCGGCUGGAACGCGUCCGACGGUGAGGGACGAAGGCCAGGGGAGCAAACCGGAUUAGAUACCCGGGUAGUCCUGGCUGUAAACGAUGCGGACUUUGUGUCGGACAAGCUAUGAGCUUGUCCGGUGCCGGAGGGAAACCGUUAAGUCCGCCGCCUGGGGAGUACGGCCGCAAGGCUGAAACUUAAAGGAAUUGGCGGG